rnacentral:rRNA from 1 species
UUUUAUUUGAGAGUUUGAUCCUGGCUCAGGAUGAACGCUGGCGGCGUGCCUAACACAUGCAAGUUGAGCGAUUUACUUCGGUAAAGAGCGGCGGACGGGUGAGUAACGCGUGGGUAACCUCCCCUGUACACACGGAUAACAUACCGAAAGGUAUGCUAAUACGGGAUAAUAUAUUUGAGAGGCAUCUCUUGAAUAUCAAAGGUGAGCCAGUACAGGAUGGACCCGCGUCUGAUUAGCUAGUUGGUAAGGUAACGGCUUACCAAGGCGACGAUCAGUAGCCGACCUGAGAGGGUGAUCGGCCACAUUGGAACUGAGACACGGUCCAAACUCCUACGGGAGGCAGCAGUGGGGAAUAUUGCA